rnacentral:lncRNA from 1 species
CCAGUAUAGCCUUCCGCUAUAAACACUUCUCACUCAAACCACCUCCAUUGCCUCUUCUAUUCCUAAACUCGCACAGCCCCAGCUUCAAACCCACGCAACCUCCUAAACGCUGCAUUUCAACUCCUUCUGUUUCUGCUUCGUCUCCUUCUCCUUCUUCAACUGAAACACCACUUGUUGCCGCUUCCCCUAAAGUAUCUCGCUCCAUCCCUUCUCUUGAAUGGGUGAGCCGGACCGCUUUCUGCGGUGAAUUGUCAGAAGCUGAUGUGAAUAAACGGGUCAGGCUCUGCGGCUGGGUUGCCCUUCAUCGUGUUCAUGGUGGCCUCACUUUCGUUAAUCUCCGUGACCAUACCGGUGUUGUACAGGUACUUAUUUUUCAUUUUCUUCUCUCUCUCUCUCCUUUUUUUUUUUUAAAAAAAAUAAUGAAUUCUCAAUCUUUCAUUUCUUGAGCAUGUAAUAGUUCUUGACUGGCUAUUGCUUUUAUUUUUCCAUUGUAAUAAAUAUUUUUGAACAUGAUGACCAUUAGUUUGUUUACUUAAGUCAGAAAUUUAAGGCAUUCUGCCUAGGAAACGUGGAAAAUUUUGAACAUUGAUGGAAUUUUAUUUGAAGUAAUCUGUCUGAAGUUACCAGUACUUACAGUCUACAAUCCGUGUUUUGGUUUGUUUUCUUUGUUGAGAAUGCUUGUUGAUUUGCGAUAAAUGCUGCAUGGGAAAGAGUAGCUAUGAAUAUGCUAUUUGAUGAAAUUGCGACAAAGAGUAUCUUUGGGGCGAGUUGUUGAACUGGUCUUUACCUUUUGUGCUUUGGGAAUUUCAGAUUACGACCCUUCCCAACGAAUUUCCUGAUGCUCAUUCAACAGUGAAUGACUUAAGAGUUGAGUAUGUGGUGGCCGUAGAAGGUGUUGUUCGGCCUCGCCCAAUUGAGUCUGUCAACAAGAAGAUGAGGACUGGUGCAGUAGAGGUGUGUUCUGCUUUAGCUUUAAAUCUUUAUGCAUAGAUGGAUGCAUUCUGCAAUAAUUACAGAAAAAGCAGCUGAAGGAAGUCACUGAUGACAUUCUCACUAUAGUAAGUCUAGAAAAUUUGAAUUUGAGGUCUCCUUUGGCAGUUCACCUGUCUGUUUAGUCUCCAUGAACUCUUUAAGAAACUGAGAAUAACAUGCCUAUGGCUGAAAACAAGGCGUGGUGCUAGUUGUUAUGAAUUCAACCAGAUCUAUUGUGUCAAGGGUGUUUUGCAUUGUGAUUUGAAGGAAAACCUUUUUAGGCUUUUGUUCAAGCAGUCCCCCUGGCCCAAUUUUUGAAGUGUUCAAGUGUUAAAAUUAACAGGUGUAACAAGAACAAUCCAAGGGCAAUGUUUUAUGUUUUCCCCCGCAAAAACCUUCCAAGUGUAAUGAUUAAUAUGGUUAAAAUACGACCUUGUUUGAAUUGCUAUUCUAUAAGUGUUAUUAGAAGAAGAUCACAGCUUAGGUGCAUCAGAGAAAGAGAAAAUCGAAGUCUGAUGCUGGUGAUUGACUAGGAGAGAAGGAAAGGUAAUGAAUUGUUGCUGAUGUUAUAAUCAUAUGUUCAUGGAUGAGUUCUUUAUCUCAGUGCUCCACAAUUUACUUAGUUUCUGCAAAGUUGGUUGUGGAAUUAUGAUGUGUAGUUGAUUGUGGAAGACGAAUUCUAAUAACUGAUGACCGCUGUUUUAUUAUUUCCUUAACUUGGAUUUGCUCCUGGAUGAUUAUUCUUUUUGGUGGUUUUAGUACAAUUGCUUAAGUUUGCAGGUGGCUGCUGAGCGUGUCCAUGUUCUGAAUACUGUGAGAUCUAAGCUGCCUUUCUUAGUUACUACUGCAGAUGAUGCCAAAGAAUCUGUAAAGGAGGAAAUUCGCUUGAGGUGAAAACUUUCUGAAGUUUUUUGACCAUGGGCUUAUGUUUUGCUUCUCUCUGCAGAUUGCUGUUAGUUCUCUUGAUAAUUGAUAUUUUUACUUUUCUGGUCGAGUUGGGCAUUUCUUAAUGAUUGAAGGUCUACUUUUGUUUCUGCUUCCUCUCGCUAAUUUGUGGUAUUGUGACUGGAGUGGGUAAACUGGAGUUUGCUUGGGUCAUGGUUUGUUGUUCUAGUUGUUUCUGAGACACUUAACUGCUUAAGUAAAAGAAUACUAGUGCUUGCCUCAUUUACAAGAGAAGAAAUAAAAUUAGUAAGUAAUAUCACUAUAUGAUGAUAAGGGAUUUUGGUGAUGUUGAUCUUUGAACCACAUAGUUGAAGAGGUAGCAUGGGUUAUUUACCAUCAAUUCUCACAUUUUGCAUGUUCCAUACCCUAUGAUGUGUGUUUUCUAUUCAAUGUAGUUUGUGGCUUUAAAGCAUGCAAUGCUUCAGAGGCCAUAGUUUUUUCCAUAGCCUAAAAUAUAUUGAUUGUUUACUGCUUGUAAGAUCUUCGAUGCAUGUCUCUUAAACUGUACGGAUUAAAUGGUCCCCAUACCUGUUACUAGAUAUCGAUGCCUUGAUUUGCGCCGGCCACAAAUGACUUCCAACAUUAUAUUGCGGCAUCAAGUGGUAAAACUCAUCCGAAGGUACCUUGAGGAUGUACAUGGUUUUGUGGAGGUAAUGUUUGCAUUUUAACAUCUUAGUGCAAUCAGAAGAUUCUACUGGAGUCUGUCUCUUCCACUCUCUGAUCCUUGCCUUCAUGUUUGUAAGGCAGAUUGAGACUCCAAUUCUAUCUAGAUCUACCCCAGAAGGUGCUCGGGAUUAUCUUGUCCCUUCAAGAAUUCAGGUACAGUAUUUGCCCUGUUAAAUGUACCUAUCUCGGGAUUAUCUCUAAUUUCUCCUCUUCACUCUUUUGGUGUUUUCCCUUGUUUUCUGUUGAAGUGAAUUGAAAAACAAAAUGUAAUCUUGGUAUUGAUGUUGUCGUUUGUCCUGGUGAUGACUUAGUGAUUUUGAAAGAAUUCCCAUCCCAUCAGGCUUCAAUCUCGAAUUCAAGCCAAAUUGUGUUUUCUAAGCUACGCUUAAUCUCCAGCCUUUUAUGGCUACCUAUGUUUUUAGCUUCUCAAAUUUAUACUCAGAGUUAAAAUUUCAUUGCAUUUGAGCUGUUAUUCCCCAAACUUUUUACCUUUGUUGUUGAGAACCCGCUCAAGGCAACUUGUAAGAUAAGAAAAGGAGAACGCCAUUUAAUACAACUCGUGUAGAUCUUUUGGAAGUGAUGGAGGCUGAACAAUUUCCAUACAGCAUUUGAUACAUCGAAACAUCAAGGAUGAAAAAUAUUUACUUGUUUUAUUGGCUUUUUAACAUCUAAUUCUCUACGUUUCAAGUUUAUGUUUUCCAGAGAUAUAUCAGUCAUCAAAUAAAAAUCUGAUUGCUUAAUUCCAUCAUUUAAAGCCAGGAACAUUUUAUGCCUUGCCCCAAAGUCCGCAGCUGUUCAAACAAAUGUUGAUGGUCUCUGGUUUUGAUAAAUACUAUCAAAUUGCAAGGUAAUAAGUUUUAAGUUUACGACUAUUUGAUCAGACUGUUGAUUUUCAUUUAAAUUCCCCUUUUCUCUUGCAUCUUUACAUUCUGCCACACAUUGUUCAACUUAUGUGAAGAGGAUCUCCCCCCUUCCCCCCUCAGAUUAUUAUGAGGAAAAAGGAUUCUAGAGGGGGGAUCAAGAAAUUUUGCAUUUAUUGCUGGGUCAUUUAUUAGUAUACAACCAAGACCACAAUGUGACUUCAUCUGCUCUUGCUUUGCAGGUGUUUCAGGGAUGAAGAUCUAAGGGCAGAUAGACAACCUGAAUUUACGCAACUAGAUAUGGAGAUGGCUUUCACUCCCUUAGAGGACAUGCUCAGACUUAAUGAAGAUUUGAUUAGGAAGGUUGUCUUUUUUUUUUUUUUUGGGUGGUAGAAAUAGUUUGAUGAGGUAACAAAUCACAAAAUGAAAUGAGGUGGGGAUAAAAGCAUUAGAAUGAUCCAGUGAGUUAAGAUACGUUUCAUUUAGCUGACCCCUCUCACUUCCUUGAUCCUGCCAAUUAGUUUGCUGUAGUUGAUAGCCUAAUAGAUAGUAGAGCAAUAAUCUGAUUUCACAAUUUGUGAGUUCCUUCAGACCUUUGAUAAAAUCCUCUAUUGAAGUGAGAUAUAUUUUCUGCACAUAAAAUUCUGUAAAACAUGUCCUGAAAUUUUCAUUAAAAGAAGCUGUUCUUCCAUAGCAAUAUUAUAACUAAAUUUACGUACAUUGUGGGGCUCUAAACUGUUGAUUUGAAUUUUUAAUACCUUCCAGAAAUUCUGAAUCGAAUGUUAUUUUCGACCAGAGCCUAUAUGAUGGUUGAAUCCUGUUUUUCAACUGAUUGGUUAGUAUUUGAAUUUGAUGACCUAGGUUUCGCACCUCCUGGUAGAUUUUUGUAUGAUCUUUUACUUUCCAAUUUUAGUAACAUUCUCCUGUGUUAUGGGCUGGGUGUGGGAAUUGAACUGUAAUAGCAUUAAUCUUGUUAAAACUUGUAUAACAUUUUGCUGUAUAGAAGCUAAACAUCAUCAGCUGUGCACAUGCUUGGCCUAUAUGUGGUGCCGAAAAUAAUUAUUACUUCUGAGUAAACAUGACAAUCUUUUGCAUUAUCUGACUAAAUAUCUUUUAGAAGAUUGAAACAAAUUAUACGUAUGUUUUAGUGUAAAUUUUACCUCGUCAUGCUUGUAGUCUAUCAUAUGAUUCCUUUUGGUAUCAGCAAAUAAUAUAUAUAUAUAUAUAUGUAGGUUUGUUCCGAAAUAGUUGUUUGUUCUAAUAAGCUUGAUUUUUUCCCCUGAAGUUUAAAGCUGGAUGCUGUCCAAUUUUUCCUUUUGUAGCAUGGAGUUAGGGUCUAGCGAGGCAUGGGUUACAUGGGUAGAUGAGGGCUCUGAUGGCCCAAUUUAGAUGUUUAAUACAACUCUUAAUUCUGUAUUGAUAUUACUUUUGCUGUUACUUCUGAUAUUCAACUGGUAAGUUGACGGGGCAUGAUAAAUAUUUUCCUGCAGGUUUUCCUUGAGAUCAAAGGUGUCCAGCUACCUGACCCUUUCCCAAGGCUCACUUAUGCUGAAGCCAUGAGCCAAUACGGUUCAGAUAGGCCAGAUACUCGUUUUGAUCUUGGAUUGAAAGAUGUAAAGCUUGUUGGUUUUCAUGCAUUAUUUGUUUUUAUUCUUUAUCUCUUUCAAUUUUCUCAACUGAGAGCUGCCAAUGCAGUCUAUAGCCCCUUCUUCAGUUUGUCCCAAGAAAAAUAGUUUCUUUUCCCUUUUUUUUUUUUUUUUUUGGGAGGGGGGGGGGGGAGACAGGUUGUCAUUCUUUUGGUACCAUAGAUGAUACUAUAUUAUGAAAUCUUAAAUCUAUUUUUUGUUUUUUGGAGUGAUUACCUAAUGGUCUUGGCUUGCAGGUAUCUGAGAUAUUUUCAGAUUCCUCCUUCAAGGCAUUUGCAGAUACCUUGAAGAGUGGGGGAAUUGUUAAAGCCUUGUGUGUCCCUUCAGGAGGAAAGACAUACUCAAAUACUGCUUUGAAGAAAGGUGAUAUUUACAAUGAAGCUAUUAAAUCUGGAGCAAAGGGUUUGCCUUUCUUAAAGGUGUUAGAAGAUGGUGAGAGUGAUGUUUGUGAUUGUUUGCACAUUUCAUCGCAUUUUGCAGAUUAUAUUGUUCUUAGUGCUUGAUGUAUAUCUUUUAGGGGCAAUUGAAGGGAUUUCCCCACUGGUAUCAUGCUUGGACCACACAAAGAAAGACAAGUUACUCAAACACUUAUCUGCGGGAUCAGGUGAUCUCAUCUUGUUUGCAGUGGGUCAGCCUGCAUCAGUAAAUAAAACUUUAGAUAGGCUGAGGUUGUAUGUAGCCCAUGAUUUGGGCUUGAUUGAUCCUGUAAGUUUACUGCUUAAAGCUUUUAAUUUCAUGCAAUAUACUAUUGGAUUUAAAAGAAAAAGGAAAGGAAACUUGGAUUAAUUAUUUUUACACAUCUCACUUUGUCUAUUUGGUGUCAUUUAGUCCAGGCCCUCAAUCUUAUACAAUAUAUAAGAAGAGGGCAUUGACAGCCAGUGUAAAUAUUUUCUACAAUUUUUUUUCGAACUUUCAAUUUUAUUCUUAGAAAAUUAAUUUUUUACCCUAAGUCACGUGAUCACAUUUACCAACAUAAUCACUCUAAAUAUUGCAAUUACCAAAUUAUCUAUUUUUAAUUGAAGAAAAAAUUAAUUAUAAAUUGAAGUUUGUUAAUGAAAAGUUCUUAUAAAAUUUAUUAAUGAAACAAUAAAAUUUACAAAUUCAUAAAAAAUAAUAAUGAUUUCUAAAUUGCACACAAAGUAAGUGUGCUUUUUAACACUAAUAUCAAUUAUUUAAGAUUGGAUCGCACACACAUAUAUAUAUAAAUAUAUGCACGCAUAGAGGGGGAGAUAAAGAAUACUCCCUACUUAAAAAUCACUGAAAGACAAAAACAAAAAAAGAGACAUCAGUCAACACAAUAAAAUAAAACACUGCAAGAGCCUAAUUUAUAGUAAUUCAUAAGGAACGAACGCUAACAACACUGUGAAAAAUCGUCAAUAAACUAAACAGUAAAAAAAAACUGCUGAAAGCCAUGCAUAUAUUAAACUUAUCCUGACUUUGCCAACCACAGAUCUUCAAACCUGCAGAGAAUUUCCGAAGUCAUCAGAACCAUAAGGAACGAUGGAGUUGUUGCAGUAUUCAGUCGUCGUCUGAUUGAAGAACAUAUCAUCACAACCAACUGCAGUCACGCCGGGAUUGAUAUCACCGCUAUUAUUUAAGCCCAAAUUAGUUGAAGAAGAAGAAGAAUUUUUCAACAACAUCAAGUCAUCGGCUCUCAUCAACAGCUUUUUCUUCAACUCUUCCAAUGAAGCUUUAUACUGUUGAAGGUCCUCCAAACCCAUAUGCUCAAUUGGGUCAUCCCACCAAAAACUCCCACCGUUCUCUAACUUCGAACCUUCAAUCAAUUCCUUUCUUUUUCUCUCGACCUCUAAUUCUUUGGACACUUUAGCAUAGUGUCGGUUGUGUUGUUGAAUCUCAUGAGCACCCAGUGGGAUUUUCGGAUCAGCAACGGAUGACGAGGAGGAUGAUGAUGAUGAUGAUGAUGCCGAUCCCGUGGUAUAGCGGUUAAUAACAGCGUCAAUGUUGGGGUGACCAAAAGCAAAGACGCGCUUGCCCAAAGAAUGAACGAUGAUGGCAACUUCUGCCCCGGUCAAGACGCAAAGUUCACUUGCUUUCUUGAAGAGACCGACUCUUCGCUUGGAGAAGGUUACUUGCCUGUUGCUCAAGUUGUCUAUCUUCUUGAUCUCGAUUUUUUUUCGACCUUGGGUCGUCUUCUUCUUCAUCAUCAUGUUGUUCAUUUUCGCCUUUUUUUUUUUUUUGUCUUUUGGUGGGAUUUUGAUGAAUUAAGGGCUAGCUACAUUGCUUUGGCAUCCCAUCCUAUUAUUAUAUAAGGUUCCACCUUCCUUAAUAUUUACCCGUAAUUUUGUUUCCUAAAAACGUCAAAGAUUUUAUUGUGAUUCGGUCGAUAUAUUUUCUCCAGUUUCCAUUGUUUCACCCUCCUAAUUUCCCCUUGAUUGAUGGAUUAAACUUAGAAAUGGAUGAUUUAUGUAGAGUAACAUCUCUAUCUUUUUCUCUCUUUUUUUUCGACAAAAUAUAAAUUAGUGUUAACUCCUCAUUGAUUGAUGGAUUAAACUUAGAAAUGGACAAUUUGUCUAGAAUUAACAGCUAUUUUCUUCUUUUCCUGGCAAAACAUAAUUUACUCUCUCACACUGACCAAGAAAAUGGCAUUGUUGAGAACUAUCGAUCUAAUCAUUUCAUCAAAAUUACAAAAAAAAACAAACGAUCAAAUUGUUAUUUAAUGGCAUGUGUAGUUAGUUUAAGUAGUUAAUGGUUUAUUAUCUUUUAGCAAAGCGAUAUACAUAUUGUUUGGAUGAAUUCAUGCAUCAACAUAUAGAAACAUAUAUACUUCCAAAAAUCUAAUUAUUUCUUCUUCUUUUUUUGGCUAAGUAUUUUCUUGCCUAGGUUAAAAUUAGAAAAAUUUAUUUCCUCAGCUUGGUGACAACUAAAGUGUCUCCAAAAUGUUCUCAAUUCAACUUCGUUAAAUAGAUCAAUAAAAAUGAAACUACUUUUCCAAUUAUUUCCUUAAUCUGUGGGCGGUAAUCGAGUAUGAUUUACAUGUAUUAAGUAUAUAGGACUCUUAGUAAACAAUUUUUCCAAUUAUUUCCUUAAUCCGUGCCAGGCAAGUGCGAUGUAGCUCGGACUCUAGGAAUGGAGCUUGUUAAAUUCCACUUUCACCCCUCAUCCGCUCAAAUUGAAUGGAAAAAAUCAACUCAACUACUUUUUGUGCAUUGUAUAAGUUGCCUCACCUAAUUACGUCCAGGAAUUGAACCACAGUGAAGUUAUUCUCUACGUUCCGUUUUGUUAUUAUUAUUAUUUUUGGGGGUGAAUGAAUGGGGCAGGCUUUGAAACAAUUUAAGCAAUGACACUUUUGUUUGGGUGGUUUGGUUCCUAUAGAAUUGAGGCAUAGAAUUGGAAUUGGAAGCCUUAUUUCUAAUUCUUUUGUUUGGCUUCUAACUUUCCCAAAUAAUUAGAAUUGAAUUUCAAUUCUACGGGGCUUGAAUUCAAUGACACUUUAUAUUGUCAUUGUUGCAAUAUUUUCUAUUUAUAUUGUCAUUGUUGGUUGUAAUUUUUGCUGAAUGUCUCAGCUGGUUUUGGGGCUUUGGCUGGUAUUUUGCCAAAAAAAAGGAAGUAAUUUGCUUUUUUCUUUAAAGCUUUAGUAACAAUUAGCUAAAUGCACGAAAAAAUAAAUUAUUAAAGGCAUAAAUUGAUUUUUUCCUUUAAAUUUUUAGUAAAAAUUAGCUAAAUGUAAGAAAAAAAUUAUUAUAUAAAAAUAAAAUAAAAAUUUUAUGUAAGCAAAUAUUUCAUGAAAAUAAUUCUAAUUCCUAAUGAAUUCUUCUCUCACGCAAAUAAAGAAUUUGAAAUUCCAUACCAAUUCUAUGCAUUUUCCAAACGAAAGAAUUGCAAUGACUUGGAAUUCCAAUUUUAUAGAAUUCGAAUUCUAAUUCAAUUUCAAUUCUAUAGUACCAAACGCACCCUUUAUGAGAUUAAACUAUUUACAGUAGAUUGAUGGAGGAAUCAUCAGAGAAGAGCAAUGACCUAAUUAUUGACAGUUUAGACUAGCGAGGCACUAGCUUGAUGCACCAAAGUCAAAUCGGAAAAACGAGAUAAGUUUAUACCGAAUAGGCUUCAAAAUCCUCCAUUAUCAUAUCCAAAGUUGAAGAUAUUAGGAUGGACCGAACCCACGCUGACCCCGGUUGGUUUGCUCUCAUAUUGAUGAUACAAUCCCGCAGCAGCACCAUUGUUUAGUGUAAAAAAUGAAGAAUUGUUGUAAUUAGCCUCAGCCGCCACCUUGCUAGCAUGACUCGUCACACUGUUUUUCAUGUUUUCCAGUGAAUCUCUUAGUUGUUCAAGUUCGUGUAAUCCAAGUUCAUUAACAGGGGAUUCCCACCAAUAAUGAUUUUGGCUGGCUUUUCUCAUGAGAUCAAAUGCCUCGCCUCUUUUCUUCUCAAUUUCUAAUUCACUGAGAAUUUGAGUGAGCUGCAAGUUGAGCUCCUGGACACUACUGGCAUUCCUGUGAGCCCCAACGAGGUGGAGUGCACUCGAGUUUGGCUGAGGAUUUCUGCAUCGCGCAAUGAAUUUAUCGAUUAUGUAAUCGACACUAGGAUGGCCAAAAGAAAAUACUUUUCCCGCUGGGGAAAAAACUAUAAUGGCUAAUUCAACGCCACAGAGAGUGCUGAGUUCGUGCGCCUUCUUAUAGGGUCCCGAACGGCGUUUUGAGAAUGUAACUUGGAGAUGAUUCUUGGUCUCAAUUUUUGCAAUUUUGAUCUUUUGGCGACCCAUGCUAGGUUUCUUUGCCAUGAUCUUCUUCUGAAUACAAGAGGGAGAGAGGUUUUUUAGGUUAGGUUUGGUGGUUCUAUGAAGAGUUAUGGAUAAAGUGGAGAAGCAACAAUUUAAAGGGCCUCAAGUUUACUCUUGAAUCUGGAUAGAUUGAUUGUAAUUUGUGCUAGCUAGUAUAUGUAAUCAUUAGGCAUAAUUACCCUUGAUUUGGGAGUUUAAAAAAAUCUUAGAUCUUAAUGCUAUGAUGGUGUGACAUAAAUCUUCUCUUAGUUGGCAUUACAAGGUGAAGUAUCAGUUAUUAUUGCAAGCCAAAGUCAACUCAUAUAUAUGUGUUUCUCUACUCAUUUUGGGUAUGAAUUGAUGAUCAAUUGGCACUCACACUCACUCUGUAGGCAUUUGUUAGAGCACAGAAAGUGCUUUUGGCACGUUACUUAUGUCUUCAUAAAGAGCCGAAAGAUGGAAGAGCAUUUAUAGAGGAGCAAAAUGCUGUGUAUAACUGUUUUCACCAUAAAACGCUAGUAGUAAUUAGGAUUAAGACAUAAAGAAAAGAAAAGAGACAUCCUUAUCAGUGUGCUAUCCCAAGUACUGAUUUUCAGAAUACAAAAUCUAAAAAAAAAAAAAAAACCAGAUGUCCUUAUUAGAGUGCAUUAAAACCAACCACGUCACAGUUGUACACAUUUCAACUUAAUUAUCAAAACUCUCAUCCUAGGAAAGUAUUUCAAAAAUGCCACUUUCAAACCACAAUUGAGCCAUCUCAGUCGAGCCCCAAAAAAAAUCCAAAUCCAGGCAAGCUAAUUGGCACAGAAGCAGCAUUUGAUUUCAAUUGAGCACCAAAAAUUACUUGCCCAUUUUCUGCUUGGGUCUGGAAGCACAAUAAUGGCCUACUGUUUCAGUACUUUAUCUCCAUUUAUCUGUGAUCUUCCAGAGUAUUGAAUGAGAUAAGAGCAAUAAUCAUUCCCAAAAUUAAAUUGGGAUAACAAUCAUGAAAGCAUUUAUCUAGAUGCUGAGAACAUCUUCAUAAAUGCAAGAAUUCAUGUAGAAGAGAAGAUUGUGAGCACAAAUACAUCAUGAUGUCAUGGAUUUGUUACAUAAUACUUUGCCUUAUAGGCCAGUUGAACAUGAAAACUCCUGCUUUACAACAAUAUACAUUCUAGUUUCAUCAAGGUAAUACAAUAAUGACAAAUAGAAAGCAAACUUUGGAUAUGCAUCUGCAGAAGAAUGACCAAGAGGUGGUGAAAAAGAGUGUUGAAGUUUAAGCACACAAAUAGACUUGGAACAUCUAGUUUAGAUAGAUUGGUAUCCAAAGUGGUCUAAUAUAACUCAAGCUCAUGAUUAGCAAUUAUCAGGAAGUUUCAAAUGCCGGCAGUAACAGAACGGUUUCAAGAGAACUGCUGGCAAAAAGUGUAGCAGAGUCAUCAGAAGUUCUCAAAAUGCGCUAUUAUGUAGUACAACUUCUGGAUAGGGGAGGUACCGGGGGCAGUGGAAGGUUAAUUUUAUGGUAGUGAAAGCAAUCACCUACACUGUGUGGUGACCUACCACAUCAGCCUUAAGACAUUACAGGAAAGAAAGUAAACUAGCUGAAAAAUUGUUCAGAGGCUGAAGCAGUCCGACCAUUGUAAUAUUGUUACCUUAACUCUUCCAGAGAGCUGGAUGGUUGAAGUGGAGAAUAUAAUGAUUUCAAAACAUCAGGUUGAGAAUCCAAUGCACUGUACUGGUGUACAUAACCUGCAGCACAGAAAUGUUUAUUAAACACUGAUGGCACAAGAACCAUUGUGGAGCUACUUGUGCUGGCCAUUGCAGCAUUCAUAGUCCAAAACAUUACAAUGCUUACAUAUGACUAAAAAUUGGAAGCCUGCAGAAAGAAAAAUUAUAACUGAUAGCAAAUCAGCUAUAGUUGAACCUUAUAUACUGGACUAGUUAGUGUAGUGCUUGAUAGGCAAAAGUAAUAAAGUUUUAAGCAAGAUGAAGUUGCUAUUAUAUGAUAGAAUGCAUGUCAGUGCAGUCAUCAACAAGAUCCUAACAAAAGCAUCUCGAUUUAAUUGCCAAAAAAAUGUGGAAUUUUUAAUGACUACAUAUAACAAUUAGCCAGUCAAAACUCACCAAUAUAGACACUCAUGAAGAACGCAGCACAAAUUAUCUCAGCUAGCAUAAUAAUCCUGCACAUUUAAUGCUAAGUGAUUAAAUAGUCAGAAAUGAACAGUUUCCCUUGGCAGCAAUCAUGGAUUCCUAGAUGCUACAUAUGCUUCUUGCAUUUGGCAAAAGUAACUUUUCACAUAAAAAAAAGUGCUUAACAUAUGCAUGUUUGUUUCUUCCAGACAGAUUGAAAAAAGAGAGUUUACAUUAGUCCAGAUGAACCUAGUGAACUUGAGUAUGUAUUCAAAGAACUAAUAGCAUACCUAAGUAUUGUUGAUAUGGACAGAAAGCGUAUAUAAAUUUCCCAGACAUGGAUAAGCAGCAUAGCUGCAGUUCCUGCAGUGCAUAUAUCAUAGAGAUAUCUCAUUGAAAGCCAAAAAGGUGCUGACUACAUUUCAGUAUUUCUGUGAAGAAUACGAGCAAGGUAUUACAAGAGAUAAAUGGAGGAACAUUCAAUAAAAGAAGGUUGAUCAUCAUGCAGUAAACAAGGAACUUAAAGAAAAAGAAUAAUAAUUUAAAAUGAAAAAGAAAAAGUAGUAAUUUAGUAAGAUUUCCAGUAAUAUUUGGAUGGAAGACUGGUCAAAAGGCAAAGAUGACCUACUUAAGGACUAAAAAAUGCUAGGUGAAGAUUGAAUUCUGAAAAUGUCUUCAAACAAAAAGCAAAGAACUGCGUCCAAAUGCGAGAUAAACACUAGACUAUAUAGAAUGGGACAAACUAAUUUGAUGUCAAAAUGGAGUAAAUAUUUACUAUGAUUUCUUCAUAUUUAGAAAUUCUUCAGGUUACAACAUCAUAGGGCAUGAAAAUGCAGAUACAAACGUACCACAUGCUAUAACAGCAAAAGGUAGGCGAAUAAUGUGCUUCAACUUUUGGCUGAAAACGUAGUAACCCUACAAAACACAUGCAUGCCUUGAAUCUAAGCUUCAAAAGCUACAAAUUUUAAGCUGGGAUAAAAUAACAGCAACCAAGAGAUCAAGAAAAAUACUCAUAAACUUGCUAAGUAAAAUAACAGCACACAUAAAUUAGUUCAAGAACAUAACUAUUACGAACACAUGUGCACUCAGAAUGUCCUAAUGUCCCCAUGAUUCCACCAAUCUCCUCACAUCUCGCCUUGUGUGUUGUCUUAUACCUAAUUCUUUAGUCAAUUUAUUAGCUCCUCUCUUAGCUUAGACUUCACAAAUCCCAAAAUUCAAUCAAAACUUUGGCUUCCAAAUUAUUUAUGCAGUUGACAAUGAUGGUUAAGGUUUCCUUCUGAAGUUCUACCUUUAGUUCAAAGAAUUAUUUACAUCUUCCCAAAGUUGGAAGAAAAGAAACAUACAUACACAAAAGAAAACAAAUUAGUACCAAGAUGGACUUGAAAUCAAUUGAUAAAUAGAAAGGAUUAUACACAUACAUACCCCAAAUGCAUAUGAACUCAUGUUUAUGUAUGUGCUUCUGUGUGUGUAUGUGUGUCUGUGCGUGUGUGUGAGUGUGUGUAUGAGAGAGAGAGAGAACCUGUAACCGUAUUUUCUGCACUUGAUAGACAAGGUAUUGCUGAAAUAAACCUGGAAAACACAGUAACAAUGAUAAACUACAGAUCAGGAAGUAUUUGAAAAGAAAACUCAAAAAAACUGAGAUGAAUUAUAUGACAUCUAAAUCAAAUGAAACUUGAAAGAUGAAGCCUGCAAAAAGCAAAGUUAAAAUCACCGCCAACUUCCAGGGCAGUUAAGUCAUCACAUCGAAGAAUACAUCAAAAAAGGGUAAAGAAGACCAAGCAUGUACCUGUGAUUACCAAAAGAAUGACAUCAGAACUACAGAGCAAAGGUGAAAUCAGUUCCGGUUGAGGGUGAAAAAACCAUGUAGCUCCAGCAGCAAUAAUAGCAUAACCUGCCUAAAAUUCAAGAAAAUCAGCAGUUCUUGGUACAAACUGAAAAUGUAGUAAUUAACUUAGUUGACUCCGAAGCAGAUAAUAGCUACCACUUGCCAGCAAAAUACAGUAGAAUAUACUCCCCAAAAUGCUAGUAGGCUUCCGGUGACCAAAUAAAGGAGCCUCAUGCAGAAUGUCAAGGAACCUAUGGCAAAAUGAUUCGCAAUAAUCCAUCACAAAUACAGCCAAAACUUUAACAUGAUGCUUAUACAUGACAAAAGAAAUGUAAUCAAACAGAAUGUACACUUCCUCGAGCAUAGGAAUAUAUAAAUAAAGAAAGAACAGUCCAGUUUUAUACAACAGCUUAAACAGUUAAGCACGACACCAAAGAGUUAACUUGCUGCACUACUGCUUGGAGAUGCUAAGAACAGAAUUCUGAUUUCCUCAUGUUAAUAUAUUAAAUGCAUGUUCAUGAAGGUGGAAAUUUUUUUAUUGGAAACGUAAGAAUUCUCGGACUCUUUUGAGCAAUUUAAAUAUGAAAUUCCAGCAAUUCUGAAGACCUUAUUUGUGCAAUGUUUUGUAAAACAAAUGACUGAAAUUGGGCAGCAGCAAACUAAGCCUAAGCACGGCUAAGCAAAGCAACAAUCAUUUUUGUUUAUUCUAGAUAUCAUUUGGUCCUCCUAUCACUUCAGUUAGCAUCUGAGGCUCUGAGUUUGAUUUAAUUCUCGCAUAAUACGACCUAAACCUAAAAUUACAGGACCAUAAAGUUUCAAAUUCACUUGCUUUGUACUUUAUUAGGAGAGUACCAGCAGCAAAAACAAUAAAACUUAUAACAAAGAAAAAGGAAAUAAUCCUAGAUUAAUUAUUCUCCCAAGAUAUUUAUUUCUCAAAAAGAAUCAUUAUGUAAACUAUCUUAACUAUAUUAUGUAAACUUGUUUUUAUUCUUUAUCUCUUUCAAUUUUCUCAACUGAGAGCUGCCAAUGCAGUCUAUAGCCCCUUCUUCAGUUUGUCCCAAGAAAAAUAGUUUCUUUUCCCUUUUUCUUUUUUUUUUUUGGGAGAGGGGGGGGGGGGGGAGACAGGUUGUCAUUCUUUUGGUACCAUAGAUGAUACUAUAUUAUGAAAUCUUAAAUCUAUUUUUUGUUUUUUGGAGUGAUUACCUAAUGGUCUUGGCUUGCAGGUAUCUGAGAUAUUUUCAAAUUCCUCCUUCAAGGCAUUUGCAGAUACCUUGAAGAGUGGGGGAAUUGUUAAAGCCUUGUGUGUCCCUUCAGGAGGAAAGACAUACUCAAAUACUGCUUUGAAGAAAGGUGAUAUUUACAAUGAAGCUAUUAAAUCUGGAGCAAAGGGUUUGCCUUUCUUAAAGGUGUUAGAAGAUGGUGAGAGUGAUGUUUGUGAUUGUUUGCACAUUUCAUCGCAUUUUGCAGAUUAUAUUGUUCUUAGUGCUUGAUGUAUAUCUUUUAGGGGCAAUUGAAGGGAUUUCCCCACUGGUAUCAUGCUUGGACCACACAAAGAAAGACAAGUUACUCAAACACUUAUCUGCGGGAUCAGGUGAUCUCACCUUGUUUGCAGUGGGUCAGCCUGCAUCAGUAAAUAAAACUUUAGAUAGGCCGAGGUUGUAUGUAGCCCAUGAUUUGGGCUUGAUUGAUCCUGUAAGUUUACUGCUUAAAGCUUUUAAUUUCAUGCAAUAUACUAUUGGAUUUAAAAGAAAAAGGAAAGGAAACUUGGAUUAAUUAUUUUUACACAUCUCACUUUGUCUGUUUGGUGUCAUUUAGUCCAGGCCCUCAAUCUUAUACAAUAUAUAAGAAGAGGGCAUUGACAGCCCGUGUAAAUAUUUUCUACAAUUUUUUUUCGAACUUUCAAUUUUAUUCUUAGAAAAUUAAUUUUUUACCCUAAGUCACGUGAUCACAUUUACCAACAUAAUCACUCUAAAUAUUGCAAUUACCAAAUUAUCUAUUUUUAAUUGAAGAAAAAAUUAAUUAUAAAUUGAAGUUUGCUAAUGAAAAGUUCUUAUAAAAUUUAUUAAUGAAACAAUAAAAUUUACAAAUUCAUAAAAAAUAAUAAUGAUUUCUAAAUUGCACACACAGUGAGUGUGCUUUUUAACACUAAUAUCAAUUAUUUAAGAUUGGAUCGCACACACAUAUAUAUAUAAAUAUAUGCACGCAUAGAGGGGGAGAUAAAGAAUACUCCCUACUUAAAAAUCACUGAAAGACAAAAACAAAAAAAGAGACAUCAGUCAACACAAUAAAAUAAAACACUGCAAGAGCCUAAUUUAUAGUAAUUCAUAAGGAACGAACGCUAACAACACUGUGAAAAACCAUCAAUAAACUAAACAGUAAAAAAAAACUGCUGAAAGCCAUGCAUAUAUUAAACUUAUCCUGACUUUGCCAACCACAGAUCUUCAAACCUGCAGAGAAUUUCCGAAGUCAUCAGAACCAUAAGGAACGAUGGAGUUGUUGCAGUAUUCAGUCGUCGUCUGAUUGAAGAACAUAUCAUCACAACCAACUGCAGUCACGCCGGGAUUGAUAUCACCGCUAUUAUUUAAGCCCAAAUUAGUUGAAGAAGAAGAAGAAUUUUUCAACAAUAUCAAGUCAUCGGCUCUCAUCAACAGCUUUUUCUUCAACUCUUCCAAUGAAGCUUUAUACUGUUGAAGGUCCUCCAAACCCAUAUGCUCAAUUGGGUCAUCCCACCAAAAACUCCCACCGUUCUCUAACUUCGAACCUUCAAUCAAUUCCUUUCUUUUUCUCUCGACCUCUAAUUCUUUGGACACUUUAGCAUAGUGUCGGUUGUGUUGUUGAAUCUCAUGAGCACCCAAUGGGGUUUUCGGAUCAGCAACGGAUGACGAGGAGGAUGAUGAUGAUGAUGAUGAUGCCGAUCCCGUGGUAUAGCGGUUAAUAACAGCGUCAAUGUUGGGGUGACCAAAAGCAAAGACGCGCUUGCCCAAAGAAUGAACGAUGAUGGCAACUUCUGCCCCGGUCAAGACGCAAAGUUCACUUGCUUUCUUGAAGAGACCGACUCUUCGCUUGGAGAAGGUUACUUGCCUGUUGCUCAAGUUAUCUAUCUUCUUGAUCUCGAUUUUUUUUCGACCUUGGGUCGUCUUCUUCUUCAUCAUCAUGUUGUUCAUUUUCGCCUUUUUUUUUUUUUUGUCUUUUGGUGGGAUUUUGAUGAAUUAAGGGCUAGCUACAUUGCUUUGGCAUCCCAUCCUAUUAUUAUAUAAGGUUCCACCUUUCUUAAUAUUUACCCGUAAUUUUGUUUCCUAAAAACGUCAAAGAUUUUAUUGUGAUUCGGUCGAUAUAUUUUCUCCAGUUUCCAUUGUUUCACCCUCCUAAUUUCCCCUUGAUUGAUGGAUUAAACUUAGAAAUGGAUGAUUUAUGUAGAGUAACAUCUCUAUCUUUUUCUCUCUUUUUUUUCGACAAAAUAUAAAUUAGUGUUAACUCCUCAUUGAUUGAUGGAUUAAACUUAGAAAUGGACAAUUUGUCUAGAAUUAACAGCUAUUUUCUUCUUUUCCUGGCAAAACAUAAUUUACUCUCUCACACUGACCAAGAAAAUGGCAUUGUUGAGAACUAUCGAUCUAAUCAUUUCAUCAAAAUUACAAAAAAAAACAAACGAUCAAAUUGUUAUUUAAUGGCAUGUGUAGUUAGUUUAAGUAGUUAAUGGUUUAUUAUCUUUUAGCAAAGCGAUAUACAUAUUGUUUGGAUGAAUUCAUGCAUCAACAUAUAGAAACAUAUAUACUUCCAAAAAUCUAAUUAUUUCUUCUUCUUUUUUUGGCUAAGUAUUUUCUUGCCUAGGUUAAAAUUAGAAAAAUUUAUUUCCUCAGCUUGGUGACAACUAAAGUGUCUCCAAAAUGUUCUCAAUUCAACUUCGUUAAAUAGAUCAAUAAAAAGGAAACUACUUUUCCAAUUAUUUCCUUAAUCCGUGGGCGGUAAUCGAGUAUGAUUUACAUGUAUUUAGUAUAUAGGACUCUUAGUAAACAAUUUUUCCAAUUAUUUCCUUAAUCCGUGCCAGGCAAGUGCGAUGUAGCUCGGACUCUAGGAAUGGAGCUUGUUAAAUUCCACUUUCACCCCUCAUCCGCUCAAAUUGAAUGGAAAAAAUCAACUCAACUACUUUUUGUGCAUUGUAUAAGUUGCCUCACCUAAUUACGUCCAGGAAUUGAACCACAGUGAAGUUAUUCUCUACGUUCCGUUUUGUUAUUAUUAUUUUUUUUGGGGGUGAAAUGAAUGGGGCAGGCUUUGAAACAAUUUAAGCAAUGACACUUUUGUUUGGGAGGUUUGGUUCCUAUAGAAUUGAGGCAUAGAAUUGGAAUUGGAAGCCUCAAUUCUAAUUCUUUUGUUUGGCUUCUAACUUUCCCAAAUAAUUAGAAUUAAAUUUCAAUUCUACGGGGCUUGAAUUCAAUGACACUUUAUAUUGUCAUUGUUGCAAUAUUUUCUAUUUAUAUUGUCAUUGUUGGUUGUAAUUUUUGCUGAAUGUCUCAGCUGGUUUUGGGGCUUUGGCUGGUAUUUUGCCAAAAAAAAGGAAGUAAUUUGCUUUUUUCUUUAAAACUUUAGUAACAAUUAGCUAAAUGCACGAAAAAAUAAAUUAUUAAAGGCAUAAAUUGAUUUUUUCCUUUAAAUUUUUAGUAAAAAUUAGCUAGAUGUAAGAAAAAAAUUAUUAUAUAAAAAUAAAAUAAAAAUUUUAUGUAAGCAAAUGUUUCAUGAAAAUAAUUCUAAUUAUUGAUUUGUCUUUUUCACUACAGAAAUGUCCAAACUUAUUGACACACUAACUUAAGCCACUGCUCAGUUCUCUUCAUAUUUCGCAUGUCAAAAUUUGAUUAUAGUUUAAAAAGUCUGAAAAUUAUAUAAUGAGUCGCAAUUUCAUGAGCACUAAACCAUUAUACAGAAAGCCUAACCUCGUGGCUUCAUUGAGAAAAAUUGCAAGUUUUCUUCUCUAUCAUUCUUCCUUCCUUUUCACUUUAUUGCCCUCUCUUUGUUAGAUAUAUCCCAUUCACGAAUAAAAGCCAAUGUCAUACUGUGUGAGUGAGAAAUAAGAGCAACUGAAAACUGGACAAAAAGCAGGUCAUGUGAGGUUUUUCUCUCAUGGAUAUGGCUGCUCAAAGGAUGGCUAGCUAGAGAUCUACCAUGUGGUCUUACUAGUUAAACCAUUCUGCGAAGAUUUCCUUUUAUAUGCUUGAUUCCCUGGACAGAGAAAUGCUCCAAUCUUAACUUGUUAAUCUGUGAUCUCGGAGAAUGCUUCUAUGAAGCUUUUAUAUUGUUCUUUCUGAUGCUUGACAAACAGUUUAAUAUUCUGAAUGGAGACCGUUUAGCUUUGGUUGAUUAUUGAGUGAAAACUGCUUUAGUUGAUUAGUGCUUCUCUAGGGAGUCCAAGCUCUCAAUCACACAAUGUAUCUUGUUUUGCUGGGGACUACAUUUUACAUGGGUUAGGGUCUAUGAUGCAUUAAUAAAUGGAUAUUGUACUUUGUAAUGGAAAAUUACGUCAACCUACUGAGGGCUUUAUCUGUAUAUCCUAUUAAUUUUUUGUCCCACAUGUUUGGCCUAUUACAAUGAUAUACCUUCCACGCAUGAGGAGAGAGAGUAUUAUUUAAUUCCUCUACUCACAUGUUCAGCUUUUGCUGGUGGUUCUCCAAUGGAUUGUUGGUUAUGAAGAUCUAGAUGUGUUACAACUUGAUUCUGCAAUAGAGAACACUAAAAUCACUGGACAAAUUGCUCCCCAUUUUUGGCAGCAUUCAGGUUCUUUACUAGAUUUUCUAAACUGUAAAAUUGUCUGUUUCUUAGGUGAUUUACCUAAUAUAUCAUAAGAGGAGAAAGUAAGAUAGAGUUCAUACUCAAAGUUGGUACCCAGAAAGCUACCGGAUCAAUUAUUUUUUCCCCUGCCUCUUGCUCUGAUUAAAUGCUGAGAGAUUGUGCAUUAUCUUGUUGUGUACUUGUGUCUGCACAAUGCUCAAAACUUCAGAAUAUAUUUACCGACAAAAAGUAUAUAUUUAGUGUUGCUUCCAUCUUUUCUUACAAGAAUGCUUAGAGAUACUGAAUGCAGUGAUACAGUAUAUUUUUUAUCCCUUUGGAGCAUAAUUUUGUUAGGUGCAAGACAUUGGUUAUACUAGAUUAUCUGUGCCUUUGCAUUUAUUUUCCAAGUUGUUUAGCUGUGAACUCAAAUUAUCUUUUCAAUGGAUCUCCUGCAGGGCCACUUGCACAGUAUAGGAGUCUUGUUAAGUAAGGGAAGCUGCAGCAUGAUCCUUACCAGGAAGAGGUUGCUUUUAAACUGGAAAAUCUGCUUGGGAGAAUGGAGCAAUAUGAGAAAGAUAUGGAGGAGUACCAUGUAGGCCACAACAGUUUAUAGUGGUUAAAUAAUACUGAAACGCUGUUCCUGGCCUUAUGUUAUUCCUCAUAUUCAUAGGAAAAGCUUACCAAAUGGGAGCAGAAGAGGGAAAACGAACGGCGCAGGCUUUUGAUGCAGGAAGCUGAGACCAAACAAGAGGGGGGUGGUAUGACAUCAAUAAGCAAGCAGCGAAAUCUUUUCCAAAGAUGGAUGUCCCGGUAAGGCUAUCAAUUUUCCCUUGAUUUUGUAGCAAUACUGAAACUGGAUAUUUCAAUGAAUUAUACGUUGGUUCAUAAAAAUCUGAAUAGGAUUUCCUGUCAUUGAACCAGUUGCGAAUUCUGUAAAGUUCAGCAUGAGGUCCAAUUCCUGUAUUUUGCUCCCUUCAUCAGUCAAAAGAAAUAUAUUUUUUCCCUGCUAGUGAUAUUUGUCUUCAUUCAGGAAGAAACAUGAAAUUGUAGAGCCAGGAGUAGGGAAAUGGGUCUCAUAUCUUAAUCGAGAGAAGAAAUUAGAUUCACUGGUUGGUCGUCGUCCCACUGCUCCUCCAGCCCCCAGAGGAUUGUAUCUUUAUGGGAACGUUGGAAGUGGUUCGUUCCUGCAUCUUGAUUAUCUGCACUUCCUUGCCAAUGCACAUUUCUGCACUUAAGAUUUCUAGUAUGUUACUACAUUAAGGCACUAAAAGGAUUCAAUGAUUUCACUUAUCUUUUAUAAAGUAGACAUGCAAUCUAACAUGAAUAGCAUGUUAAUACACAGCAUCUCUCUCUAUUAAUAUUAUUCUGGUUGUGGUUUUACUUUUUCACAUACCAAUUUGAAGAAAUUUUUGCAUCAUUUAGGUAAGACAAUGCUUAUGGAUAUGUUUUAUGGUGCGACUGAAGGAGUUGUAAAACACCAAAGAAGAUUUCACUUUCAUGAGGUGACUGCAUACUGGUACAGAGUGUGGUGUAAUUUCACUAUGCCAUCUUCUGAAUUUUAUUAUGUGAAUUAUUUUCCUAAGCAGCUGUUAUGCAAUUCUACUUGGAAAAAUUUAAGUUACAAGUUCUUAUUACUUUCUGUUCAUUUGCCAGUCUCCACUUUGCUAGCUUUUAUUUGGUUCAUCAUAUCUUGUUUCUUCUUGGUUUCUCCUUGUCAAUGUUGGAUGGGCAUAUGUAAGCCCUGCUAUAUCUUCUUUGACUUCUGGCAUGUCUUUCUUUUGACUGUAAGGCAUUUGGUGAGAGAACCCUAGGCAUUCCAUAAGAUGAUAAACCACAAACAAAAGACUUGUAGAGUUUAAGGCAAAUGAGAUUAAAAUGGAGCAUAUAUUGCAUUUAUUCUAAUUAUAGCUUCUUUUUGCUUGAUGCUUCCUAUCAAAGGUAUAACAAACUCUCAUGGAUUCCAUAUUGAAAGUUCUGUAGUAGGUCUAGUCGUUGCUCUAUCCUUGUUUUUCUUGGUAAGAAGCUUAAAACUGAUUGAUGGACGUAAACAAGACUUUCUGGGUAGGUAGUGCAAGAAGGCAGCAGUUAAAAAGUUGAUAACUACUUCUGCAAAAGCAGAAGAAGAAUGAAUCAAACUUUCAGAAUUAGCACAUCAUGAAGUUGGUACAGGAGGAUAGAAUCACAGAACUAUAGGGAAAUAUUUAACGUGCCACAGUAGUCAGUGACACCACAUUUGCUUUACCUAUAAUGUUUCUCUACAAACCCAUCAUGUGUAGAUAUCAACAUUAACAGAUGGAGGAGUAGGUUUUAUAUUAAGACCACUCUGUACCAACUAAUGCUUUGGCAAAUCAAAAGUACUCACUCCUCAUCUGGCUUGAGGAAUGUUGACCAACAGGAAGCAUGCAGAACACAAAUAAAGACACACACACACACACACAAUAUAAGUUGGUUUGGGCUUAACUUGCUUCAAACCUUAAUUUUUGCGGAUUUUCAUUUUUGUUUCCAUAAUUAUUUUUUUAUUGCUCUUUAAAAAUGUCUUUUCUCGACAGGCUAUGCUGUUAAUAAAUGAGCACAUGCAUAAGAUAUGGAAGGAUCAAGUUAAGAAUAAAAGUUUGCAGUCAAGUAUUUCUAGUUGGAUUACUAAUCUUCCCUUUGAUACAAAAAUUAAAGAGUGGUUAGCUGCAGAAGAAAGAUAUAAGCAAGAGGUGCAGAUGAAAAACAUCCUUCCUGCUGUAGCUGAUAAGUUUCUCACUGAAGCCCAUGGAAAUCAUGCAGGAGCUAGCCUUCUGUGCUUUGAUGAAAUACAGGUCUGAUGAUGUAAUGUUUCAUAGAUUUACUUUAGUGGUUCUUCAAGAAUUAUCUACAUCCUUACCUACAGAUAUCUGUUACUGUCUUCUUUAUAAAUCCUUUUUUUUGUUAGUUAUCUGAGCAAGAAUAUUAGGUUCAACUGAUGUUUGUUACUAUAAGUGGGAAGACAGAAUAUUCAAGUUAGUCAUCUACUGUAAUAAAAUGUUUGAGUUCUACCCUUGUAGAAUUCCUAAGUACAAACAUGAAUAACAGACCCUGUUAAAGAAAUCUAAUUUGCAACAUGACUAAGUGUUAUGUUAUUGUACUACUACAUCUAACGUGAUUCAUUUUGUAGAUCAGUUUACUGCUACUUGAACUGGAUAUUGGAAUUAUAUUAUGAAGCGGGUUUUGUUUUACCUUAUAUUAUUUUCUGCAAAUGAGUGGGGCAUAAUUUUUCUUUGAAUGAUUAAGUUAUAUUCUUUAUUUCGUGCAAAUUUCUGAGUCGGAUUGAAAUUUUGGAGACGGAAUCUUUAAAUUUAAUAUCUUACUUGCUCUUGCAGACAGUUGAUGUUUUUGCAAUCGUAGCAUUAUCUGGAAUUCUAAGUAGAUUGUUAAGCAAUGGAACAAUUCUUGUUGCCACCAGUAAUCGUGCACCGAGAGACCUGAAUCAGGUGUCUUUAUACUAAAUAAAUUUAUGUUUUUAUGCUUCCUUUGGUGUUCUAUCCAGGACUCUGUGACAUGCUAUGCAUGGGACUUUGAACAUAUAUUGCACCCCAUAUAAAAUGUUCCUGCAACUUCUCUCCUUCCUUUCAGGAUGGUAUGCAAAAGGAAAUCUUCCAAAAGCUUGUAGCAAAAUUGGAUGAACAAUGUGAUAACUGUCUAAUAGGAAGUGAAAUUGACUAUCGCCGUCUUAUAGCAAAAAGAUCUAUUGAUCAGGUGAGCAUGAAGGCAAAUCAAUUAUCUUUUCCAUGUGUUUCUGUUUUUAUGACUUUUAGUUGUGAAAGAUGUGAUGGCCACAUCCUUAAUUACCAUACAUGCAGAUGUACGAGUAUUGUACAGAACCUUAAUGAUUGACAAAGAGAGCAAUAAAAAGAACAAGCUUGAAAAUUUAAGCACAUUUGAAGGUGUAUCCUGGAGAUAGCUCUGAAUAAUGAAUGGUUUGCUAAACAAGAAUGUGGUAUUACAUUGCAAUAAGAUUCAGUUUCUUUUUGUCUAAAUUCUUUAAUUGGUCCAUUCAGCUGUAGGAAUAUUCACACUCGUAACAUUUCUAAAGAUUCUCCUGGCAAAAAGAUGAACUUGAGUCUUAGUUGGUGUGGUUGAGAUAUAUAUUUUUGUUUCUUUCUGAACUUAAUUGAAUUUUCUAUAUUCUACUUCAGUCUCAUCGUCUUCGUUGCUCCAAUAUAUUGGUUAUCUGUUAGUCAUAGAAUAAGUCCAACCUGUACUUAGAUGUUGUUUUUGGGGUUAAGUGCAUCUCCAUUUUCCUAUGUCUAUUCAGGUUCAUUAUUUUUGGCCACUGAAUAGUAUCAAAACAGAGGAAUUUGAGAUUAUGUGGGACAAGCUUACAAGACUAUCUGGGGGAAUAAUCACUUCAAAGGCAAUUCGAGUGAUGUUUGGGAGGUACUCUUCAAUCUAUCUGCGUCCAUUUUACUGAUAUAUCUCACUCAGCUUUUGAUAUUACAUUUUUUUCGCAAUCAGAACAUUGGAGGUUCGCCUAAGCUGUAACGGUUUGGCACGUUUCACAUUUGAGUACCUAUGCGGUCGACCGGUAAAUUGCUUCAUUUUGGGUAAAAGUAUCUUUUAUAUUGUUGUGCUAUUUAAAUUAAUACCAUCUAAAUCAUUCUUUCUUCAAAAUAAUUUAUAAGCUGAAACCUGCCUAUAAUGAUUUAGGAUUGUUUAAAUGAUGGUACUGUAAAUAGAAAAGCUCGAAAUAUUUAGAUUGUGGUUUAGUGUUUUUUUAUAGUAUCACUAAUUCAAAGCUAGUCUAUCUUUUUUCUCUCUCUUUUGGCGCUCUGUUCAUGCUGGAACAAUUUCUAUUGUGUGUAUGCUGAUGCAUAUUUAGUAUCAUUCAUUAUCUGAAAACAUUCGAAAACAGAAGCAAUAUCUGGUCGAUUUUACGACUAAAGACUGUUAAACUUGCUUUGACUCUUUCUAAGAUUUGUGCCUCGUAUAUUUUUGCACAUCUUUAAAUUGAAAUCCUUCCUUCCAUCUUGUAAUGUACUUUUGCAAACAAAAGGAAGGAAACUUGAUGAAACAAAUGAAAAUAGCUAGGUCCAUGUCUAGAUCAAUAUUCAAAGAGUUCAUACUGUCAUAUUAUUGGAUAUUACUACAAAGAAAAGUACUUUGGUGGAAAAAUAUGAGUAUUCCUUCCUAAAAAAUAUCUUCCAAGUCUCAGAUGAUUCUUACUGUUUGUGAGUGUAUACUAAAGCUAUCAAUUCCUGUCCCUGAUAGAUGAACCAACCACUCAGUGACAUCUGCACUGCAUUUUAAUUUAAUUUUUUGAUGCUUGACCUUGUUGCACGUCCCCCUUUACCUUCUUUUUCCUGUUUGAUCCCAUUAGCAAUUAUUGCAGGUUGGAGCCGCAGAUUAUAUUUCUGUAGCUAAAAAUUACCACAUGAUCUUUAUCUCAGACAUCCCUACUAUGAGCAUGCGAAUUCGUGAUAAGGUACCAAGGCUGCUUAAGUGAAUGCUAUUUCCUUCAGUACAUCAGUAUCAAUUCCUACAGCAUUUUUGUGCAUGCAAGUUUUUGUGAUUUACAUCAGGCUUUAAAUGAAUAGAUAUGCUUCUUAUCGCCCAUGCUGUUCACUUGACAUUCUUCUUUUUCCUUCUUUCAGUUUAAUGUAAGGAGAAAUUGCCUAUUUUUCACUUUAGUCUUUCUUUUCUUAUUUUACCUAUUACAUCAAGGGGGAAGGGAGCUUUUGAAGGUCGAACAGGUUCCCUUAAAAUGUCAUCUCAAGGGAAAAUCAUACUUGUCUCAAGGUUUAUGAUAAACUUACUUCGAAACUUACCAGCCACCAUUAGUAGUAUACAAUAAGAUACAGCUUCUAGAUUCCUGAUUGCUAUGCGCUUAGCUUGAGUUUGAACAUGUUCCAUGGAUCAUGGUGGCUUAUUCAGUCUCAUGGAUGGGUUUCUGAAGUAUAGUCGCCCUCAGUGUAUUUAGGGAUCAUAGUUUUCAGCAUACUAAAAUAUGGUGCCAUUUUAGUGAAACAAUUUAAGGCACCUUUUAAGGACAACAGUUUACAAGCUACCUAAUAGAUUGCUCUAUAUGCUUGCAAGGUGCUUGUGCAGUUUAUCAGGUUAUCCUGUUUUUCUUGGAUAAGACUGACCAAUGUGUGAGCAUUCUAAAGCUUCCAAUGAUUAUCUUAUCUUUGGAAAGCUAAGACAAACUGAUAGACUGACAGUCUAAUAAACAGAUUGAUAUUGCUUCUGUAUGAUUACCAGCUACAAUUACCGAUACUGGGUUUCUCGCUUCCAGGCUCGGAGAUUUAUAACUCUCAUUGAUGAACUUUACAAUCACCAUUGCUGCCUAUACUGUUCUGCUGCUUCUUCAAUAGAUGACCUAUUUCAAGGAACUGAAGAGGGUACACUUUUUGACUUGGAGAGGUGAGGAAAUCAUUUGAUCAUUCUUCUUUUGUGAGUUUCUUGACACAUUGGUCCAUGGAUGACCCCCACACCCUUUGGCUUUGCUUAGUUAGCUCUUUCAUCUAUUGACACGCAUGAGUUUCAUCAGAAAUUAUUUUACACUACCUAGCAUACUUGCAACAUGUCAUCAAUUCAUUAUAGAUCAAUGUUAUAUAACAAAGUAUUCCCUAAAAGUAUCAAAAUUCUAUUAUGAGAAGUUUCCUAGAGCCAUGGAGGUUUUUUUUUCAUUUUUUUUAAUUAUAUCUGUUUUCUGCUUCUUUUCUCCUGAGCAGAGCCAAGUUCUUUCAUUAGCUAGGGUUUUAUUGUACCAUUUUGACAUUGUUUCUCAUGAUGCAAGUUUUAUGUGUCAAUUUUCAGUGAAAAAUGUGCGCUGUGCUUUACCUCUGCUUACGGUGUGCCCUAUUUUCAUUUUUGUUUUUCCUAUAUUCUGACAGUUCAGUUUUAUGUUGCCCUGUACGUCUUUAUUUUUUCUUUUUAUGACUUAGUGUGCUUUUGGCCUAAUAUCUCAUAAUGUAAAUUAACUAUGAUUCGUCAAGGACAAUCCUAAAGCAUUAAUAUACAUUAGAGAGAGAGAGAGAGAGAGAGAUGAUUUACUUGCUGCGAUUUCAAUGAAUAAUUGAUUUUAGUAGAAUAGAUUGUUAUGUUAGUAAUACUUAUGAAAGGAUUCGAGGAUUAAAAGACCAAAUAUGUCGUCCUUGUAUGCAGACGUGAUAUUUCCCUCCAGAAAAUGAAUCAUAACAUUUUCAUUAACAGAGUGAUGUGAUAAAUUGAUCAAUUCAAAUUUAGGCACAAAUAAUUGUCUCUUUUUAAUGCAAAAGACAUAGUUUUAUAUUACACAUUGCUUCCCAAAUGGCAAUGUCAUCUAAACCUGCUAUUAAGAAAUCUAAGGGUAUGCACUAGGUUGGUAGCAUGAUAUCAGGAUUGGCAGUAAAAUGGAUAUAGUGAAUUUACUGUUUUAAAAGAGUAUGGAAGUGACUUUUGGCAUAGACAUUACUUCUCUUUUAUGUCUGGUGACUGAUGAUCAAGUUUCUGGUCAAGUACAUUCUCAGUGAGAAAAUCGAAUCAAAUAUGAAUGGAUAACAUUCGUAAGGCCAGUCUUUGACCCGUCUAGAGUUGCUGGAAAACUUUAAAGUUUAAGCAAUAUGCCAUCUACAUCACCUGUCUUUUAGCUUCAACUUCUGUCUUUGGUUAUAAAGACUACAUUGGUUCAUUUCUGCUCUCCUUUUCCAGCUUCCAAUUUGAAACAGAGACUGAAGGUGCCAAACUGCGACGAGAUGUUCUAGCAGAGGGCACAGUUAGUUCUGGUGGUACACCAACUGGAAUUACUUCCAUGCUAUCUGGUCAAGAGGAGAUGUUUGCAUUUCGCCGAGCUGUAAGUCAUUUUUUGCGUGAUUGUCAAUUUUUGCCGUCUUUUAUCAUGAAUGUUCUACAUUUUUUCUGUCAAGUCAUAGGAAAUGCUGUUUCUAAGUCCAUAGUUUAGCAUGUUAAACCUUCUCAUAGAAGGUUAUUGCAAUUUCCCUGAAGGGUUAAUCGCAGUAAAACCCCAUCAGGUUUAGCAUGCUUUGCAUGUUAGUCUUAAAGUUACUUUCUCCCACUUUACUCCUUGAGUUGGUUUUGUAACACUUAACCCACUAUUGCCAUUGAUGAAAACAAGUUUGUCGUCAAAACAACUAAGACUUGUACCCCUAGCAACAUUCAGAUAGUGUCCCAUGCUGCACCCAAUAAUACCUGCUUCAUUAGACUAGCAGAAGAAAUUGUCAUGCUGCCAUAAUAAGAUGAAUCUGGUGGAUUCAUUAACUCAGUUCUUGACUGGUGUAUUCGCCAUGGCCUAAGAUUUGCUAUCAGGAAUAAUCUGUUAAUAUCUUUUGUUCUAUCUUUGUUAUCUGGUAAGUUGUGGUUGUGAUUGUGGCCUCUAUAUACUGUACAUUAGGGCAUGAACUAAAAGGCUGGUACAUGCAGGUUUCCCGCUUGAUUGAGAUGCAAACACCUUUAUACCUGGAAGGUGUCCGCCAUCUUCAUCCGUAUUUCCAGAAUCAAAAGGAAAGCUUUGGUACUCUUAAUGCAAAAGCAACUCAAUUUCGGGAACCAUCUCUUGAAAUCAUUUGAUGUGUACAUCACGUCGAAACUUUUAGUACAUUUUUUGUGCUCGUUUGCCAUCAUUUAAUAGGAUAUACCGAUAACAAAGGGAAAUGAAUUUUUAAACAACAUUUUGCUAUCUAGUUCUGUUCCUAUUUCCAAGGAUGCCCUUUUCCUCUUGAUCUUCAGCCCGUAAAAUUACACGUAUAUAUAUAUAUAUAUAUAUGGAAGUCAAAUCCCUCUUCAUAUCCUGCAAAAGGUGUGACGUAAAAUAUUAAGCAAUGGAGCAACCGAAGAACAUAGUGAAGAUAAUAAGCUGGAGACAAGGAAGAAGUGUAAGUACUGGAUGUAUUCAAUGUUGAUUUUGGCAUCAGGGUUGCGGGAGAUAGCUGCAAAAGCAUCACUAGACAAAACAAUGGUGGAAGGGCAUGGGCGUCUUGGGCAGAAAUCCACCACCCUAACGUCGAUGGUGGUGCCAAUAUCUCUGCAUGGCUUGUUGCUGCCGCUCAAGCAUCUUAAUCUGUAGCGUCUGCCGCAUGCAGCCCCGUUAUCCCACAGCCCUUCACUCACAGCAACGAACAGAUUUCCUGCUGGAAACUGAUCAUUUCUGUUUCCCCCGCACUUGGUGGCUGCACGAGUUAAAUUUAGAGUAAAUUUUAUAAUCAAAUUCCAUAUCCUUCCUAAUACGAUUCUCAAACAACUGAAAAAACAAAAAAGCUGCUGCUAAAUAAUGAUAUAGAAACUUCUGAGAAAUCAAAUGUUGCUCACGGGUAUAUGGAGGAUUGUAAGAAGUGGCAGUGCCAAUGUGUCCAAGGACUAAGUUUAUUUUAGCCAGACUGAAUAUGCUGAUUAAGACAAAUUUGAAGCGUAGGAGAUCCAUGAUUAUGGCUGUGGACUUUACUUCUGCCUAGGUAGGGUAGCUUGAUUCUCGACUUCGGAUGUGGGGGAAAUGUGCCUAAUUUACCUCAAAUUUAUACUAGCUGUAGAUAAAAUCAGCCCGAGGUUUCAAACUGAUCUCUAAACCGUCCCCUUUAUUUUUUUAUUAAGGUAUUUGAAUGUGGAUAGCUACUAAGAAAAGUUGCCAAUAUCUAAGCUGCAAGCAGCACGAGUACUUUUGGUUGGGAAUCAAUGGCAAUUGCAGUCCACGUUGACAAUGGAUGGUGAAAUGAAUUCAGCUUGUUGACGAUGAGAGGAGGGGUUGAGCAUAUGGUUUCCUGCGUCAUGCACAAUCUUUCCACUUUCCCCUAGAAAUGUUUUGUUUUUUACAAACAUGGUACGCUAUCAAACUACCAUCAAUCACAUUGUUCAUAAUCAAAUAGGGUUUUGGAAAUUUAGCACAUGUCACUAAAGAAAUACAUUAGUAGGUUUCAAGAAACUUCAUAUAUAUAUAUAUAUAAAUCCUCUACCCACUCUUAUAAAACAUGUCAUCAAAGGAAUCACAAUCGUGUUGGUAACAUGGUUCAAAGUCGCCGUCGCAGUUGCGGUCGCGGCCCAAACUGUUCCACAUCUGUCUCGACGCAUCGACCGCGGUCUCAGCGAAACGCAAAUUUUUAAAAUAUUUAAUAUUUUAAAAAUUGUAAAAAAUAUGAUAAACAAAAAUAAUUAAAAAUUAGUAAAAAUAAUAAAAAUUCAAAUUGAUUUGGGAUGAUUCGGAGUGACUCGGGACGAUUCGACCGUUUCUAUCCAUUUCGAAGACGUCUUGGUUGAGUUUUCGGUGAUUCGGCCAAGUUCUCGACAAUUCAUUAUCUCGGAACCAUCUCAUCCUGGUAUCGGAUCGGAAAGCCCAUUUCUGGUGACGACUCAGCCAAGUCUUUGAACCAUUGUUGGUACACUAACUAAGGUCUCUGUUAGGAAGAGUACAAUGUUCAUGUUUUCUCUCGGUUACAUGUUUACAACAUGAAAAAUAACUCAACUGUCAAAUAUUAUAGCUGAUAGCUCUAAGUGAUGUGAAGGCUGUGCUACGGAAUUCAACUAACAUAACAUGUAAGAUGUCCAAAGUAAAAGUCCACGGACCGCCACUAAUGGACGACUAGCCUGCCCUGGAAAUCAAAAGACAAAUUCCCUUUGUUUAGUUAGCCUCGUCAAUUAAGGAUCCCACUGAAGGUGAGGGUGAAGCUGCAAAGGUCAUUUAUCUAAUGAAAUUGAUGAAGUUAUCUUUUUCAUUAAUUCAGUUCAGAUCAAAGGUCCAAAGUAGGUGCAAGAAUCGCUAGGGGUAUCAUGCAGCUCGGUUGAUUGUUGGAGAUGUUUCACUGCUUUUAAUCCUAAUUAGAAGCCAAAUUGUUUGUUUGAAUAGUAGUUGUUUGGGAAAAACUUUAUUGGGGAUUUUUAACACAAUUUUUUCUCACCACCUUUAUUAUUUUUUGAGCUACUUUUUUUAUCUCAUGAAUAUCUAAUGAAUUCUUCUCUCACGCAAAUAAAGAAUUUGAAAUUCCAUACCAAUUCUAUGCAUUUUCCAAACGAAAGAAUUGCAAUGACUUGGAAUUCCAAUUUUAUAGAAUUCGAAUUCUAAUUCGAUUUCAAUUCUAUAGUACCAAACGCACCCUUUAUGAGAUUAAACUAUUUAUAGUAGAUUGAUGGAGGAAUCAUCAGAGAAGAGCAAUGACAUAAUUAUUGACAGUUUAGACUAGCGAGGCACUAGCUUGAUGCACCAAAGUCAAAUCGGAAAAACGAGAUAAGUUUAUACCGAAUAGGCUUCAAAAUCCUCCAUUAUCAUAUCCAAAGUUGAAGAUAUUAGGAUGGACCGAACCCACGCUGACCCCGGUUGGUUUGCUCUCAUAUUGAUGAUACAAUCCCGCAGCAGCACAAUUGUUUAGUGUAAAAAAUGAAGAAUUGUUGUAAUUAGCCUCAGCCGCCACCUUGCUAGCAUGACUCGUCACACUGUUUUUCAUGUUUUCCAGUGAAUCUCUUAGUUGUUCAAGUUCGUGUAAUCCAAGUUCAUUAACAGGGGAUUCCCACCAAUAAUGAUUUUUGCUGGCUUUUCUCAUGAGAUCAAAUGCCUCGCCUCUUUUCUUCUCAACUUCUAAUUCACUGAGAAUUUGAGUGAGCUGCAAGUUGAGCUCCCGGACACUACUGGCAUUCCUGUGAGCCCCAACGAGGUGGAGUGCACUCGAGUUUGGCUGAGGAUUUCUGCAUCGCGCAAUGAAUUUAUCGAUUAUGUAAUCGACACUAGGAUGGCCAAAAGAAAAUACUUUUCCCGCUGGGGAAAAAACUAUAAUGGCUAAUUCAACGCCACAGAGAGUGCUGAGUUCGUGCGCCUUCUUAUAGAGUCCCGAACGGCGUUUUGAAAAUGUAACUUGGAGAUGAUUCUUGAUCUCAAUUUUUGCAAUUUUGAUCUUUUGGCGACCCAUGCUAGGUUUCUUUGCCAUGAUCUUCUUCUGAAUACAAGAGGGAGAGAGGUUUUUUAGGUUAGGUUUGGUGGUUCUAUGAAGAGUUAUGGAUAAAGUGGAGAAGCAACAAUUUAAAGGGCCUCAAGUUUACUCUUGAAUCUGGAUAGAUUGAUUGUAAUUUGUGCUAGCUAGUAUAUGUAAUCAUUAGGCAUAAUUACCCUUGAUUUGGGAGUUUAAAAAAAUCUUAGAUCUUAAUGCUAUGAUGGUGUGACAUAAAUCUUCUCUUAGUUGGCAUUACAAGGUGAAGUAUCAGUUAUUAUUGCAAGCCAAAGUCAACUCAUAUAUAUGUGUUUCUCUACUCAUUUUGGGUAUGAAUUGAUGAUCAAUUGGCACUCACACUCACUCUGUAGGCAUUUGUUAGAGCACAGAAAGUGCUUUUGGCACGUUACUUAUGUCUUCAUAAAGAGCCGAAAGAUGGAAGAGCAUUUAUAGAGGAGCAAAAUGCUGUGUAUAACUGUUUUUACCAUAAAACGCUAGUAGUAAUUAGGAUAAGAAGUGAAUCAUAACGUAAGUGAAUUGGCAGCAGCUUCACUUCACAUGCCCUAUAUGCUAAGAACUAAGAGGGCAAAUGGGUAAAUAGGAAUUGUGGCUUUUUUUUUUGUCAAAAAGGAAUUGUAGCUAUUUACCUCCUGCUAUUAAUUAAUAAUUACAGGGAUUUUGUUAACAAGUGAAGAAAUCGGUGAAAAAAAGUAAAACCUUAAAAUUUAGGAAAUAAAGCUAAGAUGCAAAAGCUACCACGAAUCAAAAAAUUUAAGAAGAUGCCAAAUUGAUAAUUAGUCACACGUUCUUACUUGAAAGUGAUUAGAAAACACUUGGUAAGAAAUCUUCCAAAGAUUCAAAUAUAGUAUGAUAUAUGCCAGCUAUUAACGGAAAGCCAUACAAUAAUCUGACAACCUUCAACUAGUUAUCAUCAUUGUCUUUAAAGUAACAAAGGGUCAUCAAAGCAAGAAUUCUAUCGUCAUAUCUGGAUCAAUAGUACUUUCUAAGGUUUUUGUUGUAGGUCAGUAUCAUACAGUUAUGACAAGCUAAAAACCCCAGUAAACCUUAUUCGCUGAACUUUGAUCUCAAGGCCCAUGGAUUAAAUCCGCCCAACUUUUCUCUACCUAUUUAGCUAAUAUCCUAUUGAUUAUCAUUGUGAACUCUCCAUGGUUCAAAACACUAUACAAUCAUCGUCUAUUCCUUUUGUUUUUACUCUUCUUCUUCUUUUGUACUACAAGGGGAAACAUCGUUUGUCUAUCGGUAUUGUAAAAGGAACUAACGUGUACACGUGCAAGUAUGAGAAAACCAACAUAAGAAACAGGAACAACAUGCUAUUCAUUUUUUUUUCAGUAAUUCAUUCAAAUAUUGGACGAAAAUUUACUCAUUAUGAUCAAACAUUUUGCACAAGAAUGGUGAAUUUUAUUGUAAAGGACGUUUCGUCCAAUCAAAAUGAAACCUAAAUGCUUUUCAUUUGUAGCGAUGCACUUUCGAACCGUGAUCCUAAACAACUUAGUAUAGUGUCAAUCAGGCAUCAAAACCACGAAUUGGGAUUCUGUGAUGUUGGCAGAAGACUUUUAAAGGUUUUAAUUGUGGGGAUCGACCAGGCAAGGCUAGAGCUUAUCUUGAUUGUUGAUUUAAAAUUUAUUUAAAUUUCAAAUUAAUAGCUGAGAUUAGUUCGAACCAACUCGGUCGAACCAACUGUUAAAUGUAUUAUGCAAGUGUUCCUGCAACUAUUAGAAUUGUUAAUGGAGUCGAAUUAGUCUGAGUCUGACCCAUUCGGUUAAAAAAAAAAUACCGUUCGAUUUUAUCUUUAAUCGGACUUGACAGAUUUUGACCCUGAAUAUUAAACUCGAAUUAAAUAUGAGCUAAUUUAGGAUCUUACUAGGUUAAACCUCUGACUUUGAAACGUUUAUACAAGUGUGAGUUGAAUUUGAAUCUUUUAACGAAAUCCAAACCUAAAAGCACCAUUUAAUUUGUGAGUAAAGUUUGGACUUAUCAAAACCCUAUUCAAAAAACUCGACUAAUAGCCCUAGCAAUCGCGAAGAAUUUAGAUCCUCAAAACAAGUACUAAACUUUAUAAAAAUUGUUAUAAAUGUGAAUACCUAGCAUCAAGAUGAGUACAUUAAUCCGAGAGAGGAGAGAGGGGGAAGGGAUGUGAUAGAUGAUAGGGCAGAAAGGAGUUGUGAGAGAUCAAAAGUUCAAGACAUUCCACUUAUAAAAAAAAAGUCCAAAAAAAAAAAGAUGAGUACAUUAACAAAUUGAAUGCGUUGUUUAAGAAUUCUUUCUGGAAACUAUUUUUAAACAUUUUUUUGGGGAAAAUUUUCACAUGUAUAGGUUGUUUGAUGUUUCACCGAAAUGGACGAAGGAAGCUAAGAAUUACAAAGCCGUUCUGCCUUCGGUAUCGAAAAGCAUUAGUUUGGAUAGAUUUUUAAUUUUUAAUUUUAGCCUCUCGAUAUUUACCUAGUAUACCUACUGAAAAACCCUAUUAUACUGGUGUGAAGAGAUAUUAGGGGAAAAAAAGUCCAAACUAAGUCAUGCAAUUCUUUAACGCUAUUAUUAUUAUUAUUUCACAUCUUUGUUUGACAGUUUCAUCGCAUGCGGCAGUCUAGAAGAUUAAAGCCAGAAAAAAAGUUUCUUAUGUUUUUUCUUUUUACUUUACAAUCAUCUCCUAUUGGUUUCUUUCCUUGAUUCCAAAUACGGGAUAGAUUGGUAAUACAUCGAAAAAGAAAACUUUAUCCCAUUUUUACUGUUUUGGCAUAAAAGGCUUCUUGUACAACAUCAACAAAAAUACACAGGAAUAAAGUAGAUAAGAUUAAUACCCAGACUUACUUAUACGGUACAAUACAGACACCCAAAUAUGAUUCAACAGAACAAAAUACUACUACAAUAGAUCAGACCAAUUUCUGGAUAUAUGAUUUAGAAAAAUCCACGACCAUAUCCAAGUGCAAACCCAUGAGGAGUCAUAGAAAGUCCCAGACCAGGAGGAGGAACCUUAGCGUCAAUGUUAAUUGGACCAACAUGGCCUCCUCCCUUGGAACUCGAUGACCCAAGAAACGCAGUCGCGUUGGAAGCCUCCACCAUCAACUUCUCUGCCUGAUUGGCCACAUUCUUCUUCAGCUCCUCCAUGGCCGCCUUUAGUUGCUUCAGUUCUUGAAGUCCAAGAUCAUUAACCGGAGCCUCCCACCAGCAUCUUCCUUGACUCGCUGUCCUCAGUUUGAUCAGCUCCUCACCACGCUUUCUCUCAGCGUCUAACUGAUUAAGCAUUUCAGUCAAUUGCAUGUUGAGUUCGCGAAUGCUCGCUGCCCUGUGUGCCUCAACAAUUUGCGAACUGCUCGAACUCGGGCCAGCUUUUCCGGUUACGAAACGAUCGAUGAUGGAGUAAAGGCAAGGAUGGCCAUAGGAGAAAACCUUUUUCCCUGGGGAGAAAACGAUUAUUGCAAUUUCAGCACCACAAAGUGUGUGGAGUUCAUAAGCCUUCUUGAAAAGGCCAGAGCGGCGCUUUGAGAAAGUAACAAGUAAGUUGCUUUCUUUUGACAUUCUUGUCAUUUCAAUCUUUUGCCUACCCUUGCUCUUUCUUGCCAUUGUUUAAGCAGGAAUUAUGUUCCAAUGGGAGGAAUGUGGCUGGGGAUUUAAAGGGUGUGUUCAUUUUCCUAGAAGUUUCUGCCACAUCGUUGUAGAUUUUUGCUACCAUUUAGGAUAUGACUAUUAACUUCUUGUUACCUUUUAAGCCAAGACUGUUAACUUGUUCUUACCUUUUGGUCACAUUCACAGCCUAAUCCAGAAUAGACAAAAAAGAAAAAAAAGAGUAAGCAAUUAAAAGGCAUGUAACACUUGAAUGGUAAAUGCUGAUAUAUAGAUAAGAACUUACAAAAUAGUAGUAAUUAUUAUUGCAUAAGAUUUUUUUUUGGGCGAUUCUAAUCUCAAUGUGAAAAUACUGGAUACAUAAAAGGAAUGAUAUGUAAAUUUCCAAAACCCCAAAAAAAAAAAAAAGUAAUACGACAUGCCACUACAUUGUAAUCACAAGAAUGUAAAAUAAUUUUUUGUUACUUUGUCAAGUACUCAUGUCAAUUAAGGUAAUAAGCGAUCGGACCGUUAUUUGAAAAAAGAACACUCGUUUCGACGUAAUAUUGAGCGGGCAAACACCAUGCACAUGUAACUUUUUCCAAAUGAAAUAAAAUAAAAGCAUGCCAUAGUUUAUAAUUAAUGUUAUUAUCUUCUCAGUUAUGAUACAAAUUUAUUACUAAUAAUAAUAAUAAUUAAGACUGCUUACAAGAUUUUUGAAGAUUUUGAUUUCUUCUUAAUAUACUUACCUUAGCUUAGUAUUUAGUAGCAGCUUAUAUCAGAGACGUAGUAAAUAUCAUCAAUUAUUUAUGGAAAUAUGCAUUGAUAAUUACUAUUCUUAUUAUUAGUCAUUGCGAAAUAUUAAAGGUUAAGAAGCCAUUAAUAAUGUUACAGAUUUCAAUGUUUUCAACUCGUUUCCAAUGUGUACUUAUAUAUCCUGAGCUAAUACAACUCUUGCCCGCUUAUGUAGCCUUGUUUAAUCAUAUGCCAUAAUUAGUUUCUAAGCGUUUGCAUGCACGUUGCAGACCACGUCAAAUGAUGGCCUGUGCGCCCGACCAAUGAAAUCGCUCCACUUUACUGAUAGCAACAGCUGUGUUCGUUAGACAAAAAAAAAAAAAAAAGGAAAAAAACAGCUGCUGUGACUUGAGACCAAAGAAUUGUAUGCAUAUGCUCGUAAAUUCCAAUUCAUUUUAGGCUUAAUUACAUUUACCUCCCCUGAAGUCGGGCCAAAACACCAAAUAAGCUCUAUAGCUUGACCAAAUUAUAAUUAUACCCUUACAAUGGAUGGUGUCUAAACCCCUGUUAACUGAGAUACUGAAAUGAUAAAAAUGCCCUUAUUCCUACAAUUUGCAAAUUUUAACUAAUCCUUGUCAAAAAAGCAAAGAGAGAGAGAGAGAGAGAGAAGAAAAGAUAGGAAGAAAGGAAGAGAAUACAAUCUAAACAUAAUAAUUUUUGCAUUCCAAAGAGAAGUUAAUGAAUAAAUUAGAAGAAGUAAAGAAACAAAAAUAACGAAAAACAAUUUCUUAAUAACAUGCAUACAGGACAUAACAAACCAACAUAAAGGAAAAUGAUGUAAGUAAACAUAAAGGGUAGGAAAGAGAAAAGGUAAACUAAAUAGGUUGGUGGAAGGAAAUUGAGGAAAUAUGGAAAAGAAAAAGAGUGUAGUAUGUUUUUCUAUUCCACUAACUUGUUUUUGUUCUUCAAUUAUUCGAUCGGACUUCCCCUUGCUUCAUUAAUAUCCCUGCUACUGCUGCAUUACUGUAACUUCAGCUCUAAAUCUUCUUUUUAUGAAAAAUUCGAAACUCUAUUCUUUCUCCAAAACCACCAUCCAGGCUUCAUUAACUCUCUCCUUUUGUGCACCAAAUUUGAUGAGCCAUUUCCCUUUUACAAUUACCUUCAUUUCUUUCUUGAUUCUCUUUUAUUCCAAUCACAAAUAUUCAGGCUCAAACAAAUAUAGUAGGGCCUACACAAAGCAUACAUUUUUAUUUUUUUUUGACGAUUUGGUACACAUCCAACUUAAUUUUAUAACACUUUAAGAGCUCGUAAUUGUUGCAUUUGGAUUUAAUUUUUGCUGUGUUAAUGAAAAGGAUAUACUGAUGUAUGGAUGGAUGUUCAUGGGAUUCAUGUUUGUAUUUUGAUUGUGAAUUCAUGAUUAUCGAAUUUGGCAGCAGCCAACUUGGUGGACUUUUGCAAAUUACGUAGAUUCCGGUAGAAGGAAAUGAGGAAUUUAUGGUUUCAAGGGCAUUUUAGGAUUUCUAGCAUAAGACGAUGUUGAUAACAUUAAUGACGAGAGGACCAAUAAUGUUAGUAAAAUAAUUAACUCACAUCAAAAAGUGUCUUUAUUAUAUUUGUUUACCACAAAGAGGGUUAUCUAUAACUUUGUAGAAUUAUAGAGUUUAUUUGGCAAUUUGGUUAAACCUCAAAGGAGCUAAAGGAAAAUAUAACUAACUUUCCUUUACUCUUCCAUAUUUUUCUUUACCAACAAAUACUACCUUAAUUUUCUGCACAUUGCAUCCAAAUUUACAGGACUUUAAAGGAAAAAUAUUUGAUUACCACAAUAUUUUCAAUAAGUAUAAUUAACUACUUAUUUUAUCUACAAAUUUUUCUUGUCAAACAAAUAUACGCAAGGAAGUUAUUUUAACUCACUUGAUUUUCCUACGUAACUUGGCCCAACUUUGUUUCAUUUUAAAAUAGAUCGAGCGUACAUGCCCAACCCCAAUCACGUUAUGGUUAGGGUCAACAACAACAUUGGGAUCAAAUGGAGCAGGCUGGCUCAGCAAGCUUUGGUAGGCCAAGCCCAAUCUACACUGAAGUAAAAGGACCAGGAAAACGACAUAGUUUUGGACUCUCAAUUCAAUUCGGCUUCGUCCCCCGGCCAUGGACUUAUCUGCUCAGAGUCUCAAUUGAAAAAUUGAAGCGGCUGCCGCGAGAUGGCCGCACAACUCCUCCGCGCUCUGCCCAGUAUAGCCUUCCGCUAUAAACACUUCUCACUCAAACCACCUCCAUUGCCUCUUCUAUUCCUAAACUCGCACAGCCCCAGCUUCAAACCCACGCAACCUCCUAAACGCUGCAUUUCAACUCCUUCUGUUUCUGCUUCGUC